GGACGCACUGGCUCUAGGAAGUCCUCUCUGGGUGUAGCAUUGUUCGGUUUGGCAGAGCCGGCUGAGGGCACUAUAUUUAUAGAUGAUGUGGAAAUCUGCAAGCUGGGGUUGAGAGAUAUUCGCAGCCAACUCUCUGUCAUACCGCAGGAUCCUGUACUCUUCAUCGGCACUGUCAGGUAUAACCUGGACCCCUUUAAAAACUACAAAGAUGAGGAGCUCUGGCUG